rnacentral:rRNA from 1 species
UGGGGAAUAUUGCACAAUGGAGGGAACUCUGAUGCAGCGACGCCGCGUGAACGAAGAAGGCCUUCGAGUCGUAAAGUUCUUUUAUAUGGGAAGAUAAUGACGGUACCAUAAGAAAAAGCCCCGGCUAACUACGUGCCAGCAGCCGCUGUAAUACGUAGGGGGCUCGCGUUGUCCGGAAUCACUGGGCGUAAAGGGUUCGCAGGCGGAAAUGCAAGUCAGGUGUAAAAGGCAGUAGCUUAACUACUGUAAGCAUUUGAAACUGCAUAUCUUGAGAAGAGUAGAGGUAAGUGGAAUUUUUAGUGUAGCGGUGAAAUGCAUAGAUAUUAAAAAGAAUACCGGUGGCGAAGGCGACUUACUGGGGUCAUUCUGACGCUGAGGAACGAAAGCGUGGGUAGCAAACAGG